ensembl:lncRNA
GCGAGAGAGAGAUAGAGAGAGAGUUCUAGAGAGAGAGAGAGAGAGAGAGACAGAGAUUCAGCACAAUGUAGUCAGUGUAUGUCCUCAUUAUUCAGACCCGACAAGAUGUAGCACUAUCCACACACACACACACACACAAUCAUUUUGACAUCUGAAAGUGUUUGUGUGUGCUUGCCCACUGACAUUUGUCCAGGUGAAGGACAAUGAAAAGAAACGGACAUUAAUUCCGGUGUGUGUGUGUGUGUGUGUGUGUGUGUGUGUGUGUGUGUGUGUGUGUGUGUGUCGGCCUAAACAUUGAAUGCAGUUGAAGCAUGAUUAAACUAAUUCAUAUCCCGGGAUGGCCACCAUAUGGUCUAGUUUAAUUAUGACAGAUGAAUUUGGUUAAACGUGUGUGUGUGCAUGUGUGUGUGUAUGUAUGUGUGUAUACAGCAGAUGUGGAGGCAGGUGCUCUUAGCUAUUUUCAACUAACACUAAGUCAAUGUUAUUCACUAAACAGUCAGACACACUUAUAUACACUGAUAUUAUACUUACACACACACACACACAUACAGCUUGUGUAACAGUGUAAAUUUGCUGUCCCCUCAAAAUAACUCAACACACAGCCAUUAAUGUCUAAACCGCUGGCAACAAAAGUGAGUACACCCCUAAGUGAAAAUGUUCAAACUGGUCCCAAAGUGUCAAUAUUUUGUGUGGCCACCAUUAUUUUCCAGCGCUGCCUUAAGCCUCUUGGGCAUGGAGUUCACCAGAGCUUCACAGGUUCCACUGGAGUCCUCUUCCACUCCUCCAUGAUGACAUCACGGAGCUGGUGGAUGUUAGAGACCUUGUGCUCCUCCACCUUCCGUUUGAGGAUGCCCCACAGAUGCUCAAUAGGGUUUAGGUCUGGAGACAUGCUCGGCCAGUCCAUCACCUUCACCCUCAGCUUCUUUAGCAAGGCAGCGGUCGUCUUGGAGGUGUGUUUGGGGUCGUUAUCAUGCUGGAAUACUGCAUACUGAUCAUGCUCUGUUUCAGUAUGUCACAGUACAUGUUGGCAUUCAUGGUUCCCUCAAUGAACUGUAGCUCCCCAGUGCCGGCAGCACUCAUGCAGCCCCAGACCAUGACACUCCCACCACCAUGCUUGAC